AGGGUUUGAUUCUGGCUCAGGACGAACGCUGGCGGCGUGCUUAACACAUGCAAGUCGAACGGGAUCCUUUCUAGCUUGCUAGGGGGGUGAGAGUGGCGAACGGGUGAGUAACGCGUGAUUAACCUGCCGUGUAGUUUGGAAUAGCUCCUGGAAACGGGUGGUAAUGCCGAAUGUUCCACAUGCUCGCAUGGGUGUGUGGGAAAACGUUUUAGUGCUAUGCGAUGGGAUCGCGUCCUAUCAGCUUGUUGGUGGGGUACGACGGGUAGCCGGCCUGAGAGGGCGACCGGCCACAUUGGGACUGAGAUACGGCCCAGACUCCUACGGGAGGCAGCAGUGGGGAAUAUUGCACAAUGGGGGGAACCCUGAUGCAGCGACGCCGCGUGCGGGAUGACGGCCUUCGGGUUGUAAACCGCUUUUAUUGGGGAGCAAGCGUGAGUGAGUGUACCUUUUGAAUAAGCACCGGCUAACUACGUGCCAGCAGCCGCGGUAAUACGUAGGGUGCAAGCGUUGUCCGGAAUUAUUGGGCGUAAAGAGCUCGUAGGCGGUUUGUCGCGUCUGGUGUGAAAGUCCAUCGCUUAACGGUGGAUUGGCGCUGGGUACGGGCAGGCUAGAGUGUAGUAGGGGAGACUGGAAUUCUCGGUGUAACGGUGGAAUGUGUAGAUAUCGGGAAGAACACCAAUGGCGAAGGCAGGUCUCUGGGCUAUUACUGACGCUGAGGAGCGAAAGCGUGGGGAGCGAACAGGAUUAGAUACCCUGGUAGUCCACGCCGUAAACGGUGGAUGCUGGAUGUGGGGCCCUUUCCACGGGUUCUGUGUCGGAGCUAACGCGUUAAGCAUCCCGCCUGGGGAGUACGGCCGCAAGGCUAAAACUCAAAGAAAUUGACGGGGGCCCGCACAAGCGGCGGAGCAU
rnacentral:rRNA from 1 species